rnacentral:rRNA from 1 species
UGCAGUCGAACGGCAGCACGGGUGCUUGCACCUGGUGGCGAGUGGCGAACGGGUGAGUAAUACAUCGGAACAUGUCCUGUAGUGGGGGAUAGCCCGGCGAAAGCCGGAUUAAUACCGCAUACGAUCUACGGAUGAAAGCGGGGGACCUUCGGGCCUCGCGCUAUAGGGUUGGCCGAUGGCUGAUUAGCUAGUUGGUGGGGUAAAGGCCUACCAAGGCGACGAUCAGUAGCUGGNCUGANAGGACGACCAGCCACACUGGGACUGAGACACGGCCCAGACUCCUACGGGAGGCAGCAGUGGGGAAUUUUGGACAAUGGGCGAAAGCCUGAUCCAGCAAUGCCGCGUGUGUGAAGAAGGCCUUC